AUAUUGCACAAUGGAGGAAACUCUGAUGCAGCGACGCCGCGUGAGUGAAGAAGUAAUUCGUUAUGUAAAGCUCUAUCAGCAGGGAAGAUAGUGACGGUACCUGACUAAGAAGCUCCGGCUAAAUACGUGCCAGCAGCCGCGGUAAUACGUAUGGAGCAAGCGUUAUCCGGAUUUACUGGGUGUAAAGGGAGUGUAGGUGGCCAUGCAAGUCAGAAGUGAAAAUCCGGGGCUCAACCCCGGAACUGCUUUUGAAACUGUAAGGCUGGAGUGCAGGAGGGGUGAGUGGAAUUCCUAGUGUAGCGGUGAAAUGCGUAGAUAUUAGGAGGAACACCAGUGGCGAAGGCGGCUCACUGGACUGUAACUGACACUGAGGCUCGAAAGCGUGGGGAGCAAACAGG
rnacentral:rRNA from 1 species